GGGGAAUUUUCCGCAAUGGGCGCAAGCCUGACGGAGCAACGCCGCGUGAGGGAGGAAGGCCUGUGGGUUGUAAACCUCUUUUCUCAAGGAAGAACACAAUGACGGUACUUGAGGAAUCAGCAUCGGCUAACUCCGUGCCAGCAGCCGCGGUAAGACGGAGGAUGCAAGCGUUAUCCGGAAUUAUUGGGCGUAGAGCGUCCGUAGGUGGUUAUAAAAGUCUGUUGUUAAAGCCCACAGCUCAACUGUGGAUCGGCAAUGGAAACUGUAUGACUUGAGUGUGGUAGGGGUAGAGGGAAUUCCUAGUGUAGCGGUGAAAUGCGUAGAUAUUAGGAAGAACACCAGUGGCGAAGGCGCUCUACUGGGCCAUAACUGACACUGAUGGACGAAAGCUAGGGGAGCGAAAGGGAUUAGAUACCCCUGUAGUC
rnacentral:rRNA from 1 species